rnacentral:rRNA from 1 species
AGGACGAACGCUGGCGGCGUGCUUAACACAUGCAAGUCGAGCGGAAAGGCCCUUCGGGGUACUCGAGCGGCGAACGGGUGAGUAACACGUGAGUAAUCUGCCCCUAGCUCUGGGAUAGCUCCGGGAAAACCGGGAUUAAUACCGGAUACGACUGCUACGGACAUCUGUGGUGGUGGAAAGAACUUCGGCUAGGGAUGAGCUCGCGGCCUAUCAGCUUGUUGGUGGGGUAACGGCCUACCAAGGCGACGACGGGUA